UGAAAUUAUAACCAGUCUUCAGCUGCCCCUUCUCUCUGACAUUAUGCCUGCAAAUUGUGACUCGAGGUAGGAAUUGGCUUCAAAGAGGGGAGAAAAAGAAAAUCAUUGCGGCAAGGAAAGCAUCUGGGUAGUGUUCAAUGCAGCUCCAAUACUUGAUGCUCAUUCAAAAGAAGUAUCAUACUGAACUAGUCCCCAAAAUGGAAAAGAUCAAUUGAAUUAUGUUGCCUAA
rnacentral:lncRNA from 1 species